rnacentral:rRNA from 1 species
AUGCAGUCGAACGGCAGCAUAGUCUAGCUUGCUAGACGGGUGGCGAGUGGCGAACGGGUGAGUAACGCGUAGGAAUAUACCUUGAAGAGGGGGACAACUUGGGGAAACUCAAGCUAAUACCGCAUAAUGUCUGAGGACGAAAGCCGGGGACCGUAAGGCCUGGCGCUUUAAGAUUAGCCUGCGUCCGAUUAGCUAGUUGGUAGGGUAAAGGCCUACCAAGGCGACGAUCGGUAGCUGGUCUGAGAGGAUGGCCAGCCACACUGGAACUGAGACACGGUCCAGACUCCUACGGGAGGCAGCAGUGGGGAAUAUUGGACAAUGGGGGCAACCCUGAUCCAGCAAUGCCGCGUGUGUGAAGAAGGCCUGAGGGUUGUAAAGCACUUUCAGUGGGGAGGAGGCUUGUUAGGUUAAGAGCUAGAUAAGUGGACGUUACCCACAGAAGAAGCACCGGCUAACUCCGUGCCAGCAGCCGCGGUAAUACGGAGGGUGCAAGCGUUAAUCGGAAUUACUGGGCGUAAAGAGUGCGUAGGUGGUUUGGUAAGUUAUCUGUGAAAUCCCUGGGCUCAACCUGGGCAGGUCAGAUAAUACUGCUGAACUCGAGUAUGGGAGAGGGUAGUGGAAUUUCCGGUGUAGCGGUGAAAUGCGUAGAGAUCGGAAGGAACACCAGUGGCGAAGGCGGCUACCUGGCCUAAUACUGACACUGAGGCACGAAAGCGUGG